rnacentral:rRNA from 1 species
CGAAGCCCGGUUAUACAAGUUCAUGUAUCGAUCCGGGUAAGGCUACAGGGUGUUUUAAUCCAAUGGAGCGUCAACCUGGAUGCAUUGAAUGCCGACAUAGAUACUUGAGGGGGUCGAAUUCAGGUAGCGGUGAAUGGUAGAAUCGAAGAAUACGGUGGGGAGGCGGCCCCUUGACAGAUACUGACAUUCAGAUGCGAAAGCGUGGGAGCAACAGGAUUAGAUACCUGUAGUCCUGCCGUAAACGAUGUUAACUUGGAGGUCGUGGACUGAGCAGUGGCUUUCGGAGCUAACGCGUUAAGUAGACGCUGGGGAGUACGGUCGCAAGAUUAAAACUCAAAUGAAUUGACGGGGGCCCGCACAAGCGGUGGAGCAUGUGGUUUAAUUCGAUGCAACGCGAAGAACCUUACCUACUCUUGACAUCCAGAGAACUUUCCAGAGAUGGAUUGGUGCCUUCGGGAACUCUGAGACAGGUGCUGCAUGGCUGUCGUCAGCUCGUGUUGUGAAAUGUUGGGUUAAGUCCCGCAACGAGCGCAACCCUUAUCCUUGUUUGCCAGCGAGUAAUGUCGGGAACUCCAGGGAGACUGCCGGUGAUAAACCGGAGGAAGGUGGGGACGACGUCAAGUCAUCAUGGCCCUUACGAGUAGGGCUACACACGUGCUACAAUGGCGCAUACAGAGGGCGGCCAACUUGCGAAAGUGAGCGAAUCCCAAAAAGUGCGUCGUAGUCCGGAUUGGAGUCUGCAACUCGACUCCAUGAAGUCGGAAUCGCUAGUAAUCGUGGAUCAGAAUGCCACGGUGAAUACGUUCCCGGGCCUUGUACACACCGCCCGUCACACCAUGGAGAGGUGGGCUGCAAAAGAAGUAGGUAGUUAACCUUCGGGGGGACGCUACCAGAUUUUGUUAU